rnacentral:rRNA from 1 species
UAAAAAAGAUAAAAAAAAAAGAAUGAGCCCGAUCUCGUCUGAGCUAGGAAGCUAAGCAGGGUCAGGCCUGGUUAGUACUUGGAUGGGAGACCGCCUGGGAAUACCAGGUGCUGUAAGCU